rnacentral:rRNA from 1 species
UACGUAGGGGGCGAGCGUUGUCCGAAGUUACUGGGCGUAAAGCGCGCGUAGGCGGACUCUUAAGUGAGGGGUGAAAGGUUCAGGGCUCAACCCGAACACUGCCUUUCAUACUGGGAGUCUUGAGUGCGGGAGAGGCGAGUGGAAUGGUCGGUGUAGCGGUGAAAUGCGUAGAUAUUGACAGGAACACCAGUGGCGCAAGCGGCUAUCUGGACCAACAUUGACGCUGAGGCACGAAAGCGUGGGGAUCAAACAGG